rnacentral:rRNA from 1 species
GACGAACCGUGCAAACGUUACUCGGAUUCACUGGGCUUAAAGGGCGCGUAGGCGGCUCGCCAAGUCUGGGGUGAAAUCUUUCGGCUUAACCGGAAAAUUGCCUGGGAUACUGGCGGGCUCGAGGGAGGUAGGGGUCAUGGGAACGACCAGUGGAGCGGUGAAAUGCGUUGAUAUUGGUCGGAACGCCGGUGGCGAAAGCGCAUGACUGGAUCUCUUCUGACGCUGAGGCGCGAAAGCCAGGGGAGCAAACGGG